rnacentral:sRNA from 1 species
UGUAUCAAAGCUCUUAUUAACAAGAUAGGGUGUUCCUACAUAGCUAAUGGGACCCACGGCAAAUGGAUCAUAAAGUCUUCAAAAAAGAAUAGAUAUAAUUGCAUUGCAUGUAGUAACAGCUACGAUCAUACCAGCACUAAUUGCAUUGCAUGUAGUAUGAGGAUGGGUGACCUCCCGGAAAGUCCUACUGUUGCAGCCCUCUUUUUUCGGUUUUUCUCUAUUUUGUUUUGUUAAAAAUGUAUAACUCUAUAACUUUAAGACCGUGAGGCCAACCUUGACAUGUGAUACCUUUUCGGAAAGCCUAAAGAGAGCUCUCCGAUGAAAGAGGAAGGAAAAUGGAAUUCUUCUAUUGUUUUUUUUUCUUCUCCAAAUUUUGACCUUAAUGUACUUUUUCGAGCCUUUUCGUGAUCUUUGCUAUAGUACGGGGCAAAAAUUAUAUGUUCGGACAUUGUUUUCGAAUAUUUUGUAUCUAUCAAAGCUCUUAUAAACAAGAUAGGGUAUUCCUACAUAGCUGGUGGGACCCAUGGCAAAUGAAUCAUAAAGUCUUCAAAAAAGAAUAGAUACGAUUGCAUUGCAUGUAGUAACAGAUGUGAUCAUACCAGCACUAAUGCACCGGAUCCCAUCAGAACUCCGAAGUUAAGCGUGAUUGGGCGAGAGUAGUACUAAGAUGGGUGACCUCGAGGAAUGUCCUCGUGUUGCAUGCCUCUUUUUUCGGUUUUUCUCUAUUUUGUUUUAUUAAAAAUGUAUGACUCUAUAACUUUAAGACCGUGAGGCAAAACUUGACAUGUGAUACCUUUUCGGAAAGCCCAAAGAGAGCUCUCCAAUGAAUGAGGAAGUCUUUUUCUAUUCCAAAUUUUGACCUUAAUGUACUUUUUCGAGUCUUUUCGUGAUCUUUGCUAUAUUACGGGGCGAACAUUAUACGUUCGGACAUUGUUUUCGAAUAUUUUGUAUCUAUCAAAGCUCUUAUAAACAAGAUAGGGUAUUCCUACAUUGCUGGUGGGACCCACGGCAAAUGGAUCAUAAAGUCUUAAAAAAAGAAUAGAUACGAUUGCAUUGCAUGUAGUAACAGAUGCGAUCAUACCAGCACUAAUGCACCGGAUCCCAUCAGAACUCCGCAGUUAAGCGUGCUUGGGCGAGAGUAGUACUAGGAUGGGUGACCUCGAAGAAUGUCCUCGUGUUGCAUCCCUCUUUUUUUCGGUUUUUCUCUUUUUUUGUUUUGUUAAAAAUGUAUGACUUUAUAACUUUUAGACCGUGAGGCCAAACUUGGCAUGCCAUACCUUUUCGGAAAGCCCAAAGAGAGCUCUCCAAUUAAUGAGGAAGGAAAAUGGAAUUCUUCUAUUGUUUUUUUUUUCUACUCCAAAUUUUGACCUUAAUGUACUUUUUCGUGCCUUUUCGUGAUCUUUGCUAUAGUACGGGGUGAAAAUUAUAUGUUCGGACAUUGUUUUCGAAUAUUUUGCAUGUAUCAAAGCUCUAAUAAACAAGAUAGGGUAUUCCUACAUAGCUAGUGGGACCCACGACAAAUGGAUCAUAAAGUCUUAAAAAAGAAUAGAUACGAUUGCAUUGCAUGUAGUAACGGAUGCGAUUAUACCAGCAUUAAUGCACCAGAUCCCAUCAGAAAUCUGCAGUUAAGCGUGCUUUGGCGAGAGUUGUACUAGGAUGGGUGACCUACAGGAAAGUCCUCGUGUUGCAUUCCUCUUUUUUUUCUCGGUUUUUCUCUUUUUUGUUUUGUUAAAAGUAUAUGACUCUAUAACUUUUAGACCGUGAGGCCAAACUUGGCAUGUGAUACCUUUUCGGAAAGCCCAAAGAGAGCUCUCCAACUAAUGAGGAAGGAAAAUGGAAUUCUUCUAUUGGUUUUUUUUUCUACUCCAAAUUUUGACCUUAAUGUACUUUUUCGGGCCUUUUAAUGAUCUUUGCUAUAGUACAAGGCGAAAAUUAUAUGUUCGGACAUUGUUUUCGAAUAUUUUGUAUCUAUCAAAGCUCUUAUAAACAAGAUAGGGUAUUCCUACAUAGCUGGUGGGACCCACGGCAAAUGGAUCAUAAAGUCUUAAAAAAAGAAUAGAUACGAUUGCAUUGCAUGUAGUAACAGAUGCGAUCAUACCAGCACUAAUGCACCGGAUCCCAUUAGAACUCCGCAGUUAAGCGUGCUUGGGCGAGAGUAGUACUAGGAUGGGUGACCUCGAAGAAUGUCCUCGUGUUGCAUCCCUCUUUUUUUUCGGUUUUUCUCUUUUUUUGUUUUGUUAAAAAUGUAUGACUUUAUAACUUUUAGACCGUGAGGCCAAACUUGGCAUGCCAUACCUUUUCGGAAAGCCCAAAGAGAGCUCUCCAAUUAAUGAGGAAAGAAAAUGGAAUUCUUCUAUUGUUUUUUUUUUCUACUCCAAAUUUUGACCUUAAUGUACUUUUUCGUGCCUUUUCGUGAUCUUUGCUAUAGUACGGGGUGAAAAUUAUAUGUUCGGACAUUCUUUUCGAAUAUUUUGCAUGUAUCAAAGCUCUAAUAAACAAGAUAGGGUAUUCCUACAUAGCUAGUGGGACCCACGACAAAUGGAUCAUAAAGUCUUAAAAAAGAAUAGAUACGAUUGCAUUGCAUGUAUUAACGGAUGCGAUUAUACCAGCAUUAAUGCACCGGAUCCCAUCAGAAAUCUGCAGUUAAGCGUGCUUGGGCGAGAGUUGUACUAGGAUGGGUGACCUCCAGGAAAGUCCUCGUGUUGCAUUCCUCUUUUUUUUCUCGGUUUUUCUCUUUUCUGUUUUGUUAAAAGUAUAUGACUCUAUAACUUUUAGACCGUGAGGCCAAACUUGGCAUGUGAUACCUCUUCGGAAAGCCCAAAGAGAGCUCUCCAACUAAUGAGGAAGGAAAAUGGAAUUCUCCUAUUGAUUUUUUUUUCUACUCCAAAUUUUGACCUUAAUGUACUUUUUCGGGCCUUUUAAUGAUCUUUGCUAUAGUACGGGGCGAAAAUUAUAUGUUCGGACAUUGUUUUCGAAUAUUUUGCAUGUAUCAAAGCUCUUAUUAACAAGAUAGGGUGUUCCUACAUAGCUAAUGGGACCCACGGCAAAUGGAUCAUAAAGUCUUCAAAAAAGAAUAGAUAUAAUUGCAUUGCAUGNU